AUGCGCACGGCCUCUCUAGGUGCACAGUCGUUUCCGUCGGUCUUGGGUCUGGCCGUGCCUGAACCUGCAAAGUCCGCGCCGGCUCCCAGGAAGGGCGCCAAGAAAGCCGUCACCAAAGCCCAGAAGAAAGACGGCAAGAGGCGCAAGCGCAGCCGCAAGGAGAGCUACUCCAUCUGCAUGUACAAGGUGCUGAAGCAGGUCCACCCCGACACCGGCAUCUCGUCCGAGGCCAUGGGCAUCAUGAACUCCUUCGCCAACGACAUCUUCGAGCGCAUCGCGGGAGAGGCGUCCCGCCUGGCGCACUACAACAAGCGCUCCACCAUCACGUCCCGCGAGAGCCAGACGGCCCUGCGCCUGCUGCUGCCCGGCGAGCUGGCCCAAGCACGCCUUGUCCCAGGGCACUUGCAAGGCUGUCACCAAGUACACCGGCUCCAAGCGAGUCCCGGCUGCUUGACUCCAAAGUC